rnacentral:lncRNA from 1 species
GCGUGGCUUCCCCGUGGCGUGCCCGCCCACCCCGCGCUACCCUAUAAAUAGGCCCCGGCGGGUUGUGGUAGCCUCUCUCUCGGCCGUCGCCAUCUUGUGGGCGCUUGGUGGCCGCCUCCAUCCGCUUCCAUCUGCCGCCCGCGCCGCCAUGAGGGCCAAGUGGCGAAAGAAGCGUAUGCGCAGGCUGAAGCGCAAGAGAAGGAAGAUGAGGCAGAGGUCCAAGUAGGCGCCUCGGUGCUGCUGCGGAGCAGAGGAGUGCUGGGACGCGGGGCAGCGCCUGGCCCUGCCGGUGCCGCCAGCGCAGGAGACCGGCGUGGCCGGGCUGCCCGAGCCCGGGUGUUUUGGACUGGUUCCUGUCUUUGUAGCUGUCCGUAGCCCCUGUACCAUAAAUAAAGCCUGGUUUGGUGGCA